AUGUGGGUGAGCAGGACAUUGUCCCUCCAAACAAAACCUUCUCUGUCCCAUGGUGCAGGUACUGGUGUGAGCACCCAGGACAUCUGCAGCUCCAGGGCUGGUGGUACUCUCCAGGCCCCAGUCCUGUUCCUUAACACUUGCAGAGCUGAGGAAGGGGAAGUCGUUCUAUUUCAAUGUGCUCUUCAGAAGAUGGUUCCUGCUACCCGAUUUGUCUUCUGCAAGGAUGGGUUGGAGGUGCGCAGCAUGAAAGCCCAAGAGGACAUGGUCAUCUACUCCAUUCAGAUGAACAUCUCUGUGAGAAGCAGUGGGACAUAUGCAUGUUUGUACCAGCAGAGGAGUGGGAAAAGCUGGCUGAGUUCUGCCCUCAGUCCUCCAUGGGACCUGCAUGUCACAGAUCCCAAAAUCCUGCCGGACCCUACAGUCAUUACGGUGGCACUGGUGGCUCUCACCCUCCUCCUUUCUGCAGGCACAUACUGGACCAUCAAGAAAGGUGCCUGCAGGAGGAUAUGCCGAAGUGCUGGUAGAGCUGAGGAAUCUUCUGCUGACCACGAUUCUUACUGUAAGUGCCAGUCCCUGUGCACCCUUCCCCUCCAGGCACCAAGGACAAUGCAGAGAUGA
rnacentral:lncRNA from 1 species